rnacentral:snRNA from 1 species
AUCGCUUCUUGGUCUUUUGGCUAAGAUCAAGUGUAGUAUCUGUUCUUAUCAGCUUUGCAGCUAGGGAAUUGGUUUUUAAAAAAAACCUAUUUUUGAGUGUUUAGGUCAGAUGGGAGAGCUGAGAGAUACACUGUUUACUAACUAGCCCAGGGCUA